rnacentral:rRNA from 1 species
AUUGAACGCUGGCGGCAUGCCUAAUACAUGCAAGUCGAACGAGACCUUCGGGUCUAGUGGCGCACGGGUGCGUAACGCGUGGGAAUCUGCCCUUGGGUUCGGAAUAACGUCGGGAAACUGACGCUAAUACCGGAUGAUGACGUAAGUCCAAAGAUUUAUCGCCCAAGGAUGAGCCCGCGUAGGAUUAGGUAGUUGGUGAG